rnacentral:misc_RNA from 1 species
AAAUAAAAGUAACUAAUUGAGCAUACUCGCGAAUCAGCUGAUGAUAUAUUUGCUGCAAACGAAACACAGCUACAGUUAUUAAUCUCGAUCAAAUUUUGACAACUAGUACCCGCGCAAUUAUAGUUUUGGCGUAAAAUUGUUCAAAAAGUGUAAUUAAUUAGAAUUUGCGUUACUUUAUUUUGUAAUAAGUUAUAUCAGUAUUUUCAGACAACACAAUGAAUGCUUACAUAGAACAGGCAAUGGAAAAAGUCACUGAUUUGCAACAACAAACUCAUUUUUGCAUAAAUAACUACGAUUACUAUCAUAAAAAUAAUGAAUUUGAAAUUUUACGUCAAAAAGAAAAGCACCUACGUGUUAGUGCAAUGUAUCUAAAGGAAUUUCUCAAUACACUGGAUGCAUUUCAAAAUGCUAUUCGAGACAUAUCAAGUCAAUGCGACGAAAUUGAUGUGUUACUGGCAAAAUCCACACAGAAAGGUAAAAAAGAUGAAGAGGAGACGGAUAGCAAUAAAGAGAAUAUAUAAAAUGUUUAAUUCUAGGACUAAUUUCGUUAAUUUGCUAUAAGCAUUUGAUAAGUUGAUAUAUAACAAAAAUAAAAUAUUUUACACCAUAGCUACCUAGCAUGUAAAAAAUAU